rnacentral:rRNA from 1 species
AUAUCAAUAAGCGGAGGAAAAGAAACCAACAGGGAUUGCCCCAGUAACGGCGAGUGAAGCGGCAACAGCUCAAAUUUGAAAUCUGGCUCCGGCCCGAGUUGUAAUUUGUAGAGGAAGCUUUUGGUGAGGCACUUUCUGAGUCCCCUGGAACGGGGCGCCAUAGAGGGUGAGAGCCCCGUAUAGUUAGAUGCCGAGCCUCUGUAAAGCUCCUUCGACGAGUCGAGUAGUUUGGGAAUGCUGCUCAAAAUGGGAGGUAAAUUUCUUCUAAAGCUAAAUAUUGGCCAGAGACCGAUAGCGCACAAGUAGAGUGAUCGAAAGAUGAAAAGCACUUUGAAAAGAGGGUUAAACAGCACGUGAAAUUGUUGAAAGGGAAGCGCUUGUGACCAGACUUGCGUCGGGCUGAUCAUCCGGUGUUCUCACCGGUGCACUCUGCCCGGCUCAGGCCAGCAUCGGUUUUCGUGGGGGGAUAAAGGCCCGGGGAACGUAGCUCCUCCGGGAGUGUUAUAGCCCUGGGCGCAACGCCCCCGCGGGGACCGAGGUUCGCGCAUCUGCAAGGAUGCUGGCGUAAUGGUCACCAGCGACCCGUCUUGAAACACGGACCAAGGAGUCAAGGUUUUGCGCGAGUGUUUGGGUGUAAAACCCGCACGCGUAAUGAAAGUGAACGUAGGUGAGAGCUUCGGCGCAUCAUCGACCGAUCCUGAUGUUUUCGGAUGGAUUUGAGUAGGAGCGUUAAGCCUUGGACCCGAAAGAUGGUGAACUAUGCUUGGAUAGGGUGAAGCCAGAGGAAACUCUGGUGGAGGCUCGCAGCGGUUCUGACGUGCAAAUCGAUCGUCAAAUCUGAGCAUGGGGGCGAAAGACUAAUCGAACCAUCUAGUAGCUGGUUACCGCCGAAGUUUCCCUCAGGAUAGCAGUGUUGUUCUUCAGUUUUAUGAGGUAAAGCGAAUGAUUAGGGACUCGGGGGCGCUAUUUAGCCUUCAUCCAUUCUCAAACUUUAAAUAUGUAAGAAGCCCUUGUUACUUAAUUGAACGUGGGCAUUCGAAUGUACCAACACUAGUGGGCCAUUUUUGGUAAGCAGAACUGGCGAUGC